GCCUGGGCCAGGGAGGCCGGCGGCCGCCGCUGCCUCUCCCGGCUCCGGGGUCCCGCCAGCCCGGCCCUCCGCCCGCUAUCCGCGCCCUUCUGCCGCCCGCGCCGCCCGCGCCCCCCGCGCACCGCUGAGCCCGCCCGGGCGCCGGCCCCUUCCCAUGCGGGCUGCGAGGGCCCUGGGAGGGGCGCCCGGAGCCAGCCGCGCAGCAUGCACUGGGGGGUUGGCUUUGCCUCGUCCAGGCCGUGCGUGGUGGACCUGAGCUGGAACCAGAGCAUCUCCUACUUCGGCUGGUGGGCCGGGUCCGAGGAGCCCUUCUCCUUUUAUGGGGACAUCAUCGCUUUCCCUUUGCAGGAUUACGGUGGGAUCAUGGCAGGGCUGGGCUCGGAUCCCUGGUGGAAGAAAACCCUUUAUUUGACCGGGGGAGCUUUGCUGGCCGCGGCUGCGUAUCUGCUCCACGAACUCCUGGUCAUUAGGAAACAGCAAGAGCUUGACUCCAAGGAUGCUAUUAUUUUACAUCAGUUUGCAAGACCUAAUAAUGGUGUCCCCAGCUUAUCUCCCUUCUGUUUGAAAAUGGAAACCUACUUGAGAAUGGCUGACCUACCCUAUCAGAACUAUUUUGGUGGAAAGCUCUCUGCUCAAGGGAAAAUGCCUUGGAUUGAAUAUAAUAAUGAAAAAGUGUCUGGUACAGAGUUCAUAAUUGACUUUCUGGAAGAGAAACUUGGAGUGAACCUAAACAAAAAUCUUGGCCCUCAUGAAAGAGCUGUCUCAAGAGCCGUGACCAAGAUGGUGGAAGAACACUUCUACUGGACGUUAGCUUAUUGCCAGUGGGUGGACAAUCUCAAUGAGACCCGGAAGAUGCUGUCUCUUAGUGGUGGUCCCUUCAGUAACCUGCUCAGGUGGGUCGUGUGCCACGUAACAAAAGGAAUUGUGAAACGGGAGAUGCACGGCCACGGCAUUGGCCGCUUCUCGGAGGAAGAGAUUUACAUGCUGAUGGAGAAGGACAUGCGGUCCUUAGCAGGGCUUUUGGGUGACAAGAAGUACAUCAUGGGACCCAAGCUUUCCACUCUCGAUGCCACUGUCUUUGGACACUUGGCACAGGCGAUGUGGACAUUGCCAGGAACAAGACCUGAGCGGCUAAUCAAAGGGGAGCUGAUCAACCUCGCCAUGUACUGUGAGAGGAUCAGGAGGAAAUUCUGGCCCGAGUGGCAUCAUGAUGAUGACAACACCAUCUACGAGUCCGAGGAGAGCAGCGAGGGCAGCAAGACUCACACACCCAUGCUGGAUUUCAGCUUCUACUCAAGGACAGAAACCUUCGAAGACGAAGGGGCAGAGAACAGUUUUUCCAGGACGCCAGACACGGAUUUCACGGGACACUCUCUCUUUGAUUCUGACGUGGACAUGGAUGACUACACAGACCACGAACAGUGCAAGUGACGUCCUGCCACUGACCCUUUUCCUUAGGAAUUGCCACUCCCUGGGGUCGGUCUGGCUUCCCAGUUCUUUACCUGGAGCUUAGAUUUCUGGCCUUUGAAGAAUUUUCUGAAGUCCUGCAGCAGUGAUUGCUGGAAAUAGUCAGUACCUUGACCUUCAGAGUAGUUAUGGGAGGUACUGAAAAGUGGCUUAUGGGAAAGGGACUCAGCUGUUCGAGAGCCAGUAGGCAGUGUGAAUUCAACCAUUCUGGCUUUUGCAGAAGCAGAGAACCUCUCCAGAUGUGGAAUUUCCAAAAGUCAUCAUGCUAGACCAUGACACUAUAAAGCUCUGGCUUCAGGAGGAUCAUUGCAAGAUAUCUAGUUUGUGUGCACAAGAAGGGGUCUUUGCACUAGGGAGACCAAGUACCGUUAC